GCGAAGAGGUCACACCCGUUUCCAUACCGAACACGGAAGUUAAGCUCUUCAGCGCCGAUGGUAGUCGGGGGUUUCCCCCUGUGAGAGUAGGACGCCGCCAAGC
rnacentral:rRNA from 1 species